rnacentral:lncRNA from 1 species
UUGUUUUGUAGUAUUUUUAGUUUAUUUUCAGGUUUUGGAUUGAUUUGGAGGAAACUGGUGAUUUCGGAGAUAAAAUGACAAAGACAUGAAGUUGACCAUCGACCAUGACUAUCGAUUGAUGGGCGAAGGCAACAAUCGAUCGACACACACUCUGUGGUGUUGAUAUACGGUGAAGCGCGCAUAAGCCAGAUUAGGUUCCAACCGACUGCCAUUGUCUUAACCCACAAGAAUUACCAGAUUGGGUUCCAGCCCACAAGAAUUACCAGAUUACCCCUGAUGAGUUUUAACCUAAUAUUUAUGUGCUAUGCAAUUGUUCUAGGCAACACACGCUUUCAUACUUUCUACUUUUCACAAAGCAAAAUACUUAGAGUCUUAGGUUUGGAGAAAAGAUCCGGUAACUCCCUCACAGCUUUGUGAUUGGAACUCCAGCUUCUUUACUCUAUUCUAUUUAUGCAAUUUACUUAUUCUAUUGUCAUGGAUUGCUUAGUCAUGUCUGAGUAGCUCCUCUUGUUAGAUUUAGAGUUCAGAUAUUCAUGAGGGAUUACCCAAAAUAUAGAAUUGCUAAGUGUCAGGAUAUUAUUCAACUAAACUGUUCUUAAUGCCUGUGUUCUAGAGUAGCUAACUAAGACUUUGUCUAUAGAUAUUAGGGCGCAUUCGGAAGUUUGGUUCUUUGUCUGAAACAGUUUAG